rnacentral:rRNA from 1 species
CCGUUGCAAGGGACUCCGAAGAGCUGUGGCAAGGGGUGAAAAGCCAAUCUAACCUAGAGAUAGCUGGUCUUCUGCGAAAUCCGUUUUUGCGGAUAGCCCAUUUAUUGAAUUAUAAAGAAAUUCAAAUUCAUUUGUUACUAGACGGUACGGCACUGGAAGUCACGCAGUUUUUAUUGCCUAAUCGGGGGGCUGUCAUGGCUCUAUCGAUGGCUUCUAACCCCGGAAAUGUAUAGUAUACAAUAAUGGGCAAUCAGACAUAUCAUGAUAAGGCGAUUUGUCAAAAGGGAAACAGCCCAGAACAGGUGUGAAGGUCCCUAACAAACUACUGAGUGAACACAAGGCAGUCCUUUCCAGUAUCUCUCCACAAAGUGGGCUUGAAGCAGCCACCUUUUAGCGAUAGCGUAACAGCUCAGUGGUCUGAGUUCUCUGAAAAGGGUAUAUUGCCUGGUGAGGGCGCCAAAAAUGUAACGGGUCUAUAGUAGUCGUCUCUCUAUUUCAUUAGGAAAUAUGAGGGGGUGGCAGUUAAUAAAAAUGUAGAGCUUUUUCACUGCCUCACCGAAACCCUGUCCUAAAUAUAAAUUUUAGGGGUAGCAGAAUACCCAGUAAAUGGAAUGAAGCUUACUUAUUGAGUAGGUGGACAUAACUGGGCUAAAAAUGCUGACAUGAGUAGCCUAAAAGGAGGGUAAUUUCCUCUUCGCCGAAAGAAGAAGGUUUUCAUUUGUAAGGUCUAUACCUAAUGAUUAAAGUAACGGCCUCUAAGUUUCAGGGUAACAAAUAAGUUUCGAUGAGAAAUUCUUCUAUAAGGCAGUAAUCUUUUUUAUGGAUUUACCUAUUAAUUAAAGGUAUAUUUCAAAAAGUAAGAUUCGGGAAAAAGCCCUAUGGAAACUUAACCGUACCCUAAACCAACACAGGUCUGCAAGUAGAGCAUACUAAGGCGUAGAGACAAUCGUCUUGAAGGAACUCGGCAAAAUGACCCCGUAACUUUGGAAGAAGGGGUGUCACUUAUUAGUGGCGGCACAAAACAGGGGAGCGCGACUGUUUACUUAAAACACCGGACUCUGCUAACACUAGCGUGGAUGUAUAGAGU